CAGUAGCCGCGGUAAUACGUAGGGUGCAAGCGUUGUCCGGAAUCAUUGGGCGUAAAGCGCGCGUAGGUGGCCAUUUAAGUCCGCUGUGAAAGUCAAAGGCUCAACCUUUGAAAGCCGGUGGAUACUGGAUGGCUAGAGUACGGAAGAGGCGAGUGGAAUUCCUGGUGUAGCGGUGGAAUGCGCAGAUAUCAGGAGGAACACCAAUAGCGAAGGCAGCUCGCUGGGACGUUACUGACACUGAGGCGCGAAAGCGUGGGGAGCGAACAGGAUUAGAUACCCGCGUAGUCCCUGUCUCUUAUAC
rnacentral:rRNA from 1 species